UACGUAGGGGGCAAGCGUUAUCCGGAAUUACUGGGUGUAAAGGGAGAGUAGGCGGCAAGGUAAGCGAUAUGUGAAAGCCUUAGGCUUAACCUGAGGAUUGCAUAACGAACUAUCUAGCUAGAGUACAGGAGAGGAAAGCGGUAUUCCUAGUGUAGCGGUGAAAUGCGUAGAUAUUAGGAAGAACACCAGUGGCGAAGGCGGCUUUCUGGACUGAAACUGACGCUGAGGCUCGAAAGCGUGGGGAGCGAACAGG
rnacentral:rRNA from 1 species